GUGUAGCUCAGCAGUUGAGCACUUGCCUGGCAUGCAUGAGACCCUGGGUUCAAUCCCCAGUGC
rnacentral:tRNA from 1 species